rnacentral:lncRNA from 1 species
UGUUGGUCUAUUUCAAGGGUAAAACGAAUGACUCAUUAUCCAGUAGCAGGUUUCUGAGACUAUGCAUUAAUUGAAGAGCUCAGAUCAAAUUGUAUAAAUUACUAGCUUGGAAUCUUUGCUAGAACACACUGAAUGAAGCAUUAUAUCAAUCCUCUUGCAUUUUCCUUUGACCAUGCUACAUUAUGUUGUAAUUGUCAUAGGGAUUAUUGAGGAUGUGUGGCUUUCAAAGACCACAAGGUGGGGCAAGAUAAUAUCCAACUGAAUAUGUUCCAUAAGCUUUAUGUCAGUGUUAACAUAGGAAUCUGUCUCUAUGUGCAUGCACACAUUUGUAGUUUAGCACUUUCUUUGUGAUCAUAGGUUAAAACCAUAACCUCAGUCGCCAGCUUGUAGCUGAUGAAGCCCACUCAGGCUGCUCCCACAGGGACUGUGGAUGGCAUCACAAAGUUAUCUCAUCUUUACACCCACUCCUUGGAGAAAGGCUAAACCUUAGGGGAACUUCCAUAUGGGGAACUUUGGAGAAGGCUGCAGCUGUGAGCUGUUGAGGGCUAGCAUUCACAGUAGCUGGGGAAUUUGGUGUACCAAUUUGGUAAAGUGGAUGGGUGGACAAAGGACCAACAACAUCCCUACAUUUUGCCAUCUUAAUAUCUACAAAUGUGCAAUGAACCUUACAGAAAUGAUAAUUGGGUAUGCAAACUGCUAAUUUUUCCUCCAUCUGCACACUAAAUUUAAGCCUAUAACUUUAACAGUCUUGUGUGUAUGUUUUCACUUAAAACACCACUGUAUUUUUGGUGAAG